rnacentral:sRNA from 1 species
GUAAGCCUCCUUAAGGCCAGGGGCUUUCUCUGUUUAGUUCCUGGCACAUAAAACAGCAUCUAGCGCUGUCAUAAGGGCUCUGUCGAUAUUUUUUCCAUGGAUGGUUGGCUAUGCAUCAGGGUAGACAGACACUGAAACCAACCAACAGUCCCAGUGACUGGAGGGGCCCUCCUGGUCUGUUUGAGGCACAGUAGGGGUGAAGCAGGUGGCCUGGGGUGCCAGGGCUGAUUGUCUCUCUAAGCCUUGGCCGGUGGCCACACAGCAGCCCCCAGCCCCUCUCCCGUCAGCUGCCUGGUGCUUUGCCCACACCAGGGUCUCUGGACACCAGCUCUUCUAUCACCAGCCAGCCUGAGGCCUUCUUCUCGAAGCUGCAGGAGUUUCGGGAAACCAACAAGGAGGAGUGUAUCUGCAGCCAUCCUGAACCCCAGUUCCUAGGCCUGCGCGAGAGCAGUGGCAGCGGCGUGGAGGAAGACCAUGAAUGUGAGUGCGGGCCCUCAGCUAGGCCGCUGAGUAGUCCUGGCCUCCCCUGCCCUAGAGCAGUCCCAUUUGAGGUUUGGGGCCUGGGGAGGCCCCUGAGGUGUUGAGACUCGUGGAGGGAGGCCUGCAGUCUGGACAGGGUGGCCAAGCCCUGGUAGGUUGGAGUGAGCUAAGGCCUGGCCACCGAAUUAGGGGCUGCCCUGUGUGACACCAUCCCACCCUCCCCAGCAGUGCCCCUGUGCUGGUGGGACUCCAUCCCAGCUCCUGAGAGCCCCAGGAGGAUGUCCCUCCCCACCCCUUAGGGCGUGGGCCC